rnacentral:lncRNA from 1 species
UUAUCUGAUCAAUUUGAUGAAUUAUAUCUUGAUUAGACUACUAAGUGAUUCGAGUUGACCCAUGCCAUUAUGGUUGAUCAGUGUGACUGAUCUAAGUAUCAUUUCAAUCAGCAUGAUCCUAAUCUAAUUCAAUGACUUGAUGAAGUUAGUGGGAAGAUUGUGGUUUACUGGUUGAUCUUUUUUUUUCAAUUCAUAAAUUAAAUCUUUUAAAUUAUUAGAUCCCUAAAAUGAGCUAGUUAUGGAGAUAACUAGAUCAUAACCUCCCAUUAAGUUGGAUGAUAAU